rnacentral:tRNA from 1 species
GUGGUUGUAGCUCAGCGGUUAGAGCAUUCGCUUGUGGAGCGAAGGGUCGGGGGUUCAAAUCCCCUCAACCACC